rnacentral:rRNA from 1 species
AUUAACGCUAGCGGCAGGCAUAAUACAUGCAAGUUGAACGGCAGCACAGGUAGCAAUACUGGGUGGCGAGUGGCGCACGGGUGCGUAACACGUAUGCAACCUACCCUAUACAGGCGAAUAACCUUUAGAAAUGAGGGCUAAUACGCCGUAGUAUUAUCUUGGGGCAUCUUGAGAUAAUUAAAGAUUUAUCGGUAUAGGAUGGGCAUGCGUCCCAUUAGUUAGUUGGUAGGGUAACGGCCUACCAAGGCGAUGAUGGGUAGGGG